rnacentral:SRP_RNA from 1 species
CUAUGCUUAGGUGGGGAGCUAGCGGUGCCCUGUACCUGCAAUCCGCUAUAGCAGGACCGAAAGGCCACCUGAGGCUUAUCCUUGUAGAAAAGGGAGGAAUAUGGGGGCGAUGAAAAUCAGGACCUGUGCAAUAGGAGAACUUCAAACCCCGCCAGGUCCGAAAGGAAGCAACGGUAAGAAGUUUUUCCUAUGUGCCGCAGGGAUCCUGGUUGGAGCCUACCAAUCCUCUACUAUCUGGAAGGAUAAAGUCGAGGGUGGAGGCAUAG